ensembl:lncRNA THOC3-AS1 THOC3 antisense RNA 1
CUCUCACCUAGAAAUUCUCUCUUAGGAGCUGAUCAAAAUCAAACUAAGAAAUUUUUUACACAUGUGAGUCUUGGGGACUUCAGGGUCAUUCAAGGCAGAAUCAGGCCAUAAAUAGUAAUGCCAGAGAUGACAGGAUGUGUAGAGGGACAGGGGAAAAAUCUUACAGUGAAAGAAGAGUAGGGGAGUCUUGAAGUAUAAGUCCUUUGGGGGUCAGAGGACUUUAGAGAAGCUGAUGUUGUAAAAGAAAACAGACUUGUCACCUCUGGCAAAGCCUCAACAUAUGGGUAUGUAUCCGUCAGGGUUCAGCCAGAGAAGCAGAACAACUGGAAGAUAAUUAGAAUUAUCAGCAGAUUCCAAAAACUCACUCUGAACUUGGAGACCAGAAUCCUACCUGCUGGAGCAAAUUGCAUCUCGAGUUUUGAGAAUCAGCACCCUUAUUAAGCAGAGAAUGACUGAAAGAUCAUUGAGGAUCACAUAUCAAAGGCACUUUAUUUGAAAUUUUCAAAGAAUCAACAGAAAAUAUUUUUAUCUACUUUAAAUGAAUGACAGAAAAGAACACAGAGACCCAUGAAUUCAAUGAAAAAGACAUAUUAUUCAUGAAUAAUGAACGACUGCUGUAGCCCAGAGAAAUGAUGGUAAGAACUGAUUCCCAGCCUUUCAUUCUUGUCUUUUAGUGUCAACAGAGUAAAGAAAAGUGAUGGCCUCACCUGGCCCUACACUGUCUCGUGACAUCAAGCUCUCACCAAAUGUGACCCACCCCUUGGAUCCCUGAUUCAUUCACCUGGCACCCUCCACUUUUAAAGCAUUCUAUCCUACCACUGCCAGACUCCACCUUAAGUCCCAAUCUGGUGUGAUUUCCACAUGACUGAACACCAUUCCAGAGAGCUCAUCUCUAGCUGGCACCCCUGGUUGGCCUCCUCUGUUCUAACAUUCCUAAGCAUGGACCACUCAUACCUGCAUGUUUCACAUUUCCCUGAGGGCUGGCGUCUCGUACCUCCUCCACCAGGUUUUUGAGCAAGAGCUUCUUUCACUUCAACCCCCUCUGGGGAGAGUCUGUAAGCAGGCCUAUGGGAACAAACAGCAUCUUUGUCCUCACCCUUUACAUCCAAGUACAUCUGAAGAUAUCAGUUAUAAAGAGAGUGGAUUUCUAAACUUUGGAAAUUGGAAAUUUCCUUAGUCCAAUAAUCCUUUAGGGGCACUAUGGGUCAUCCUGGCUGUAUCCCCGUCUCUUCAGAUUGCCCACUAACCUAGAUCAAUGGGCCUACUAAAGCAGCUUUUGUUCUAAUAA